AGGAAAACUGAUCUGUCAAGACUUUAUGAUUUACCUUCUUCUUGAUACUUAUACUGCACUGGUCACCUCCACAGGGCAGUAGGUGGUUGCUGGCUUCCAUCCCAAGUGCUCUGUAGCUGCAGUUCUUACUCGGACUACACUUUGAUUUGACUGGUGAUGAUUUGUCACCUCUACACAAAUGCCGAAGAUGCAUGACUGACUUUGAAAGGAUAAGAAAGGAGAAACUAUAGAUUUACAGAAAUACCCAUGGCCCUGGCCCUAAGUCUGAGCAAGACUGGCU